rnacentral:rRNA from 1 species
UUGGUGAUUUAUAAUAACUUAGCAAAUCGCAUAGUGAAAACAGGCGAUAAAUCAUUCAAGUUUCUGACCUAUCAGCUUUCGACGGUAUGGUAUUGGCUUACCGUGGCAGUGACGGUUAACGGGGGAUUAGGGUUCGAUUCCGGAGAGGGAGCCUGAGAAACGGCUACCACAUCUAAGGAAGGCAGCAGGCGCGCAAAUUACCCAAUUCUAACAGUUUGAGAGAGGUAGUAACAAGAAAUAACAAUACAAGGCAGUUAAAAUGCUUUGUAAUUGGAAUGAUAGAAAUUUAAACCCUUUUUAAAGUAUCAAUUGGAGGGCAAGUCUGGUGCCAGCAGCCGCGGUAAUUCCAGCUCCAAUAGCGUAUAUUAAAAUUGUUGCAGUUAAAAAGCUCGUAGUUGAAGUUCUGCUAAAAGUAACCGGUCUGCUUUGAAUAAAAGUGGUAUCUUGGUAUGUAUUUAGCAAUGAUGUCCUUUGAAGUGUUUUUUACUUUAUUGUAAUAAAGCAUAUUCAGGACUUUUACUUUGAGAAAAUUAGAGUGUUUCUAGCAGGCCAACGCUUUGAAUACUGCAGCAUGGAAUAAUAA